rnacentral:lncRNA from 1 species
GUUUAAUAAGGAAUGUCCUUACACAAAGUGAUUGUGAUUUUACAGCCAUUCCAUUGUUUCUGGUCAAGGUCUAUUUUAACUCAGUACAUUUUAAAAUCAGCAGUUAUUGAAAAGGAAAUGUGUAUUGUUCAUGACAGCUCCACUAUUCUUUUUCUAAAACAACAGAGGCUUUAUUAAGAGCAAAGUUGUAUAUGACCAUUUUUUGAGUUUUUAUUUUAUUACCAGUAAAAGAACAAAACAUCAGACAAGACUAUUGUCUGAUCCAUCUGGUGCUAUAUUUCCUCCACACAAGCCUUGUAUAACACACACACAAUAUUUCAACUGCAAAUGUUGUUUAGCUUUUACAACAAUUGCCUAUCAAAGCAUCCAGGUCCCAUUGAUAAUGGAGCAAAGCUUUUCCUGCAAUUGUGAGCCAGGAAAUGCUGGCCCCUUGGCAAGGCUCAUAUGUCCUGUUGCUUGUAAUCUCCCUCCCUCCUUGCUGGAAUGUGUUAUUUUUAAGCAGCUAGACUAACAGGAAAAGAAAGUUGUUACUUCUUUUCAUGUGACCUGGCAGUAGGAAAGUAGGAAGGCAAGAAACCCUGUUUUAGGAACUGGGGCUGAUCACAUCUUAAAGCCACUUGCUGGGUACCAAGCCACACAUGUGGGGGAAGUCGUCCGUUCCCAGCAUGCUUUUGAAUCGAUGGAACCACCACGUGUGAGUCUUCUGCUACACAGAGAACUGCACCCCAGCGUCUGGCACUGCCGAGUGGCCCACGUGGAACUCCCACGCUGCCAGGCUGAAGGUAUUUCUUCUCCAGCAUCACCUGAAGAAGGGAGGCUCAUUAACCAAACAAUCAUCAGUGACACAAAACAUGCUGAAUUCACCAAUCUCCUCUUCUCCAAAACUUCCUUUAUGACACCAUCUGCCAGAGUAAGUUUGGGAUAUAUUCUUAGGAAUUUGAAGAUUUUGAAGCACAAGCGAUGUAUACUUCUCUUCUUGUGAUUGACACCCAUGCUAUUAAAUGCAAAUAAGAUUGUGUUGGGAGUAAAAUGCUGUCUAGAAACACUUGUGUUGGAUUUGGUUUUCAAAAAUCCAGGAAGAUGAGCCCCCUCCUUUCCAGAGAAAGCUGAGAACAUCACAUGUUGUUCCCAUCAUUUUCCUUUCUCCCUAUGCUUUUCUGUACCCUGAACUAGCAUCUGUCUUUAACUUUUUUCUUUCUUUUUUUUUUUUAAUUUUUGACAGGCAGAGUGGACAGUGAGAGAGAGAGAGAGAGAGACAGAGAGAAAGGUCUUCCCUUUGCAGUUGGUUCACCCUCCAAUGGCCGCCGCGGCCGGUGCACUGCGCUGAUCCGAAGGCAGGAGCCAGGUGCUUCUCCUGGUCUCCCAUGGGGUGCAGGGCCCAAGCACUUGGGCCAUCCUCCACUGCACUCCCUGGCCACAGCAGAGAGCUGGCCUGGAAGAGGGGCAACCGGGACAGAAUCUGGCAUCCCAACCAGGACUAGAACCCAGUGUGCCGGCACCGCAAGGCAGAGGAUUAGCCUAUUGAGCUACGGCGCUGGCCUGUCUUUAACUUUUUUCAAUGCAUUCCAUCCUUGCACUGAUUAUAUCCUUUCUAUUAAUGUUUGUGUAAAUAUGUCUUUUAUAUCCUUUAACCCAUGUGUCUACUAUCACUGAAGAUAUCCCUCAAAAGGCAGUCUGCUCUUAGAGAUACUGAGUACAUAGUCACUACACACCAUGCCGUGGGUUCACCUCAACAUUUAAAUGACUUGUAGAAUAUUACUUGAGAGGCAGCAAGGCAAACUGAACCAAAGAUGAUCCUUUUUAAGACAUUAUUGUAAUCUUCUAUUUUGAACUGCUAUCAGAUGUGGCUUUUCUGCAGCAUUUAACGCUGUUGGGAGUUUUAUAUUUUCCCUCAGUUGUUCUAUUUUCCUGAAUUCUUAAAAACUAGUCCUCUUGGUAUUACUACCAAUUGUGGGUUUUUCUUUCUAAGAUUUAUUUAUUUA